UGGGUAACCUGCCUCAAAGAGGGGAAUAGCCUCCCGAAAGGGGAGAUUAAUACCGCAUAAUAUGUUUAAGUCGCAUGACUUUAACAUCAAAAGGUAUUUUUCUUUUUAAGAAAAUUCCACUUUGAGAUGGACCCCGCGGCGCAUUAGCUAGUUGGUGAGGUAACGGCUCACCAAGGCAACGAUGCGUAGCCGACCUGAGAGGGUGAUCCGGCCACAUUGGAACUGAGACACGGCCCAGCUCCGUAGGAGG
rnacentral:rRNA from 1 species